rnacentral:lncRNA from 1 species
CCACCACCCAGAAGGAGAGGUGGGUUGCCGAGUGGUCUGCUUUGGCCUGGCUUCACCAGGGAUGGAAGAUACUUGCAAGGUCCAGAGCCGUGGCUGACCCUGGAACUGGCAGGGAGGGGAGCUGUUUUGCAGUUGUCAAACCCAGUAUCUGCCAUGUGACGCUCCCUGCCCCACACUUUGCAAUUCAAACCUCAUCUGGGCAGGCAUCCCUGAAAUGCACCUUUCCCAGAGUCUUGCUGUUUCCAGAACUUAGGUAUUCUCACUCAGGGAGCCGUCUUCUAAGCCACCAUUCUGGAGGGCUUUCUUGGGAAAAAGCCUUUCGUGGACUCUGCAUGGUGGCCCUGGGGACUGGCACUCACCUCCCCUGAGCCCCUCGCUGGAGACGGCGGAGUAUCCCGACCAAGGGCUCCUCCCACCUGACCAGACGGGCCAUCCACCAGCGCACCCAAGGCUGGACUCCAGCCUUCAGGGAGCCUCAGGUCCAGGGGCUGAAGCAAUUUGCGAGGAAUCUCUAUUUUUUACAAAGAAAGCUCAAGAGAGAGGAAGCA